CUCCUACGGGAGGCAGCAGUGGGGAAUAUUGCACAAUGGGCGAAACCCUGAUGCAGACACGCCGCGUGAGAGAAGAAGUAUUUCGGUAUGUAAAGCUCUAUCAGCAGGGAAGAUAAUGACAGUACCUGACUAAGAAGCCCCGGCUAACUACGUGCCAGCAGCCGCGGUAAUACGUAGGGGGCAAGCGUUAUCCGGAUUUACU
rnacentral:rRNA from 1 species